rnacentral:rRNA from 3 species
AAAUUGAAGAGUUUGAUCAUGGCUCAGAUUGAACGCUGGCGGCAGGCCUAACACAUGCAAGUCGAACGGUAGCACAGAGAGCUUGCUCUCGGGUGACGAGUGGCGGACGGGUGAGUAAUGUCUGGGAAACUGCCUGAUGGAGGGGGAUAACUACUGGAAACGGUGGCUAAUACCGCAUAACGUCGCAAGACCAAAGAGGGGGA